CCUACGGGGGGCAGCAGUGAGGAAUAUUGGUCAAUGGCCGGAAGGCUGAACCAGCCAUGCCGCGUGAAGGUCAGUGCCCUAUGGGCGUUAAACUUCUUUUGUGCGGGAGCAAUAAUGGUCACGUGUGGCCAGACGAGAGUACCGUACGAAUAAGCAUCGGCUAACUCCGUUCCAGCAGCCGCGGUAAUACGGGGGAUGCAAGCGUUAUCCGGAUUUAUUGGGUUUAAAGGGUGCGUAGGCUGUGAGGUAAGUCAGCGGUGAAAUGCCCCCGCUCAACGGGGUGAAGUGCCAUUGAUACUGCCUGGCUGGAAUGCGGAUGCCGUGGGAGGAAUGUGUGGUGUAGCGGUGAAAUGCAUAGAUAUCACACAGAACACCGAUUGCGAAGGCAUCUCACGAAGCCGCGAUUGACGCUGAUGCACGAAAGCGUGGGUAUCAAACAGGAUUAGAUACCCCAGUAGUC
rnacentral:rRNA from 1 species